AACGAACGCUGGCGGCAUGCCUAACACAUGCAAGUCGAACGGGAUCCUAGCUUGCUAGGUGAGAGUGGCGGACGGGUGAGUAACACGUGGGAAUCUGCCUUUUGGUUCGGGAUAACCGCGGGAAACUGCGGCUAAUACCGAAUGCCCUCGAGAGAGGAAAGAUUUAUCGCCAGAAGAGGAGCCCGCGUCCGAUUAGGUAGUUGGUGGGGUAAAGGCCUACCAAGCCGACGAUCGGUAGCUGGUCUGAGAGGAUGAUCAGCCACACUGGGACUGAGAUACGGCCCAGACUCCUACGGGAGGCAGCAGUGGGGAAUAUUGGACAAUGGGCGAAAGCCUGAUCCAGCAAUGCCGCGUGUGUGAAGAAGGUCUUCGGAUCGUAAAGCACUUUCGACAGGGACGAUGAUGACGGUACCUGUAGAAGAAGCCCCGGCUAACUUCGUGCCAGCAGCCGCGGUAAU
rnacentral:rRNA from 1 species